rnacentral:piRNA from 2 species
UCAAUUCUCGAUCUUACAGCACAAGC